GUGACCCCAGGUCAGGCG
rnacentral:rRNA from 1 species